UAGGGAAUCUUCCACAAUGGGCGAAAGCCUGAUGGAGCAACGCCGCGUGUGUGAUGAAGGCUUUCGGGUCGUAAAGCACUGUUGUAUGGGAAGAACAGCUAGAAUAGGAAAUGAUUUUAGUUUGACGGUACCAUACCAGAAAGGGCGGCUAAAUACGUGCCAA
rnacentral:rRNA from 1 species